UUCAAGCUCUGAUUAUAGAAGAAGUCUAUGGUUUUAGUUAGACCAUUGAAAGAGUGAGGUCGCAGGCUUUCAGAAAUGGCUAAUGAUAGGAUGAAGAUCCAAUAUGGAAAUUUGAUAGGACAGAAGGUUGGGAUUCAGAUGGCUCUGUUAAGAAGCGGCGGUCGAGGUUUUCUGGCCAACAUAGCCAUAAAAAAACUUUGAAAAUUGCAAUGAAUGGAACAAUCACCCCAACUUCGGUGAUUUUUGUUCUGUAGAUCAUUGAUGCUUAAGCCAGAUAGUUCUUAUCCUAUCAAUUGCCUUCAGCAUAUCAUAACCAUGUAGAGAAGAUACGAUCACGACCUUUGCGACGUUGGAUAUUUUAACAGUUCACUUGAUUUAAUAUGUUACUGUCAUUUUUACUGUUC
rnacentral:lncRNA from 1 species